rnacentral:rRNA from 1 species
UCCUGGCUCAGGAUGAACGCUAGCUACAGGCUUAACACAUGCAAGUCGAGGGGCAGCGGUGGUGAAGGCUUGCCUUUACCAGCCGGCGACCGGCGCACGGGUGAGUAACACGUAUGCAACCUGCCUGCCACAGCCGGAUAAUCGGGAGAAAUUCCGUCUAAUACGGCAUAAUGCAUCGACGGGACAUCCUGUUGGUGCCAAAGGUUAAUUCCGGUGGCGGAUGGGCAUGCGUCGCAUUAGUUAGUUGGCGGUGUAACGGACCACCAAGACGACGAUGCGUAGGGGUUCUGAGAGGAAGGUCCCCCACACUGGUACUGAGACACGGACCAGACUCCUACGGGAGGCAGCAGUGAGGAAUAUUGGUCAAUGGGCGGGAGCCUGAACCAGCCAAGUCGCGUGAGGGAUGACGGCCCUAUGGGUUGUAAACCUCUUUUGCCGGGGAGCAAAGUGCCGCACGUGUGCGGUUUGGAGAGUACCCGGAGAAAAAGCAUCGGCUAACUCCGUGCCAGCAGCCGCGGUA